rnacentral:rRNA from 1 species
UAAGGAAUAUUGGUCAAUGGACGCAAGUCUGAACCAGCCAUGCCGCGUGAAGGAUGAAGGUCCUCUGGAUUGUAAACUUCUUUUAUCUGGGACGAAAACGGGAUUUUUAUCUCAAUUGACGGUACCAGAGGAAUAAGCACCGGCUAACUCCGUGCCAGCAGCCGCGGUAAUACGGAGGGUGCGAGCGUUAUCCGGAUUUCCUGGGUUUAAAGGGUGCGUAGGUGGGCUUAUAAGUCAGUGGUGAAAUCUCCGAGCUUAACUUGGAAACUGCCGUUGAUACUAUAGGUCUUGAAUUAUCUGGAGGUAAGCGGAAUAUGUCAUGUAGCGGUGAAAUGCUUAGAUAUGACAUAGAACACCAAUUGCGAAGGCAGCUUACUACAUAUAAAUUGACGCUGAGGCACGAAAGCGUGGGGAUCAAACA